rnacentral:rRNA from 1 species
AGGCGAGGCCGAAAGGCGUAGUCGAUGGGAAACGGGUUAAUAUUCCCGUACUUGGUGUUACUGCGAAGGGGGGACGGAGAAGGCUAUGUUGGCCGGGCGACGGUUGUCCCGGUUUAAGCGUGUAGGUGUGUGUUCCAGGUAAAUCCGGUUCACUUUAACACUGAGGCGUGACGACGAGGCACUACGGUGCUGAAGCAACAAAUGCCCUGCUUCCAGGAAAAGCCUCUAAGCAUCAGGUAACACGAAAUCGUACCCCAAACCGACACAGGUGGUCAGGUAGAGAAUACCAAGGCGCUUGAGAGAACUCGGGUGAAGGAACUAGGCAAAAUGGUGCCGUAACUUCGGGAGAAGGCACGCUGACACGUAGGUGAAGUGAUUUACUCAUGGAGCUGAAGUCAGUCGAAGAUACCAGCUGGCUGCAACUGUUUAUUAAAAACACAGCACUGUGCAAACACGAAAGUGGACGUAUACGGUGUGACGCCUGCCCGGUGCCGGAAGGUUAAUUGAUGGGGUCAGCGCAAGCGAAGCUCCUGAUCGAAGCCCCGGUAAACGGCGGCCGUAACUAUAACGGUCCUAAGGUAGCGAAAUUCCUUGUCGGGUAAGUUCCGACCUGCACGAAUGGCGUAAUGAUGGCCAGGCUGUCUCCACCCGAGACUCAGUGAAAUUGAACUCGCUGUGAAGAUGCAGUGUACCCGCGGCAAGACGGAAAGACCCCGUGAACCUUUACUAUAGCUUGACACUGAACAUUGAGCCUUGAUGUGUAG